UACGGGGGGGGGCAAGCGUUGUUCGGAAUUACUGGGCGUAAAGGGCUCGUAGGCGGCCAACUAAGUCAGACGUGAAAUCCCCAGGCUCAACCUGGGAACUGCGUCUGAUACUGGAUGGCUUGAAUCCGGGAGAGGGAUGCAGAAUUCCAGGUGUAGCGGUGAAAUGCGUAGAUAUCUGGAGGAAUACCGGUGGCGAAGGCGGCAUCCUGGACCGGCAUUGACGCUGAGGAGCGAAAGCUAGGGGAGCAAACGGG
rnacentral:rRNA from 1 species